rnacentral:rRNA from 1 species
AUUGAACGCUGGCGGCAUGCUUUACACAUGCAAGUCGAACGGCAGCGCGGGGCAACCUGGCGGCGAGUGGCGCACGGGUGCGUAAUAUAUCGGAACGUACCCAGAAGUGGGGGAUAACGUAGCGAAAGUUACGCUAAUACCGCAUACGAUCUACGGAUGAAAGUAGGGGACCGCAAGGCCUUAUGCUUUUGGAUCGGCCGAUAUCUGAUUAGCUAGUUGGUGAGGUAAAGGCUCACCAAGGCGACGAUCAGUAGCUGGUCUGAGAGGACGACCAGCCACACUGGAACUGAGACACGGUCCAGACUCCUACGGGAGGCAGCAGUGGGGAAUUUUGGACAAAGGGCGCAAGCCUGAUCCAGCAAUGCCGCGUGAGUGAAGAAGGCCUUCGGGUUGUAAAGCUCUUUUGUCAGGGAAGAAACGGUAGAGGCUAAUAUCCUUUGCUAAUGACGGUACCUGAAGAAUAAGCACCGGCUAACUACGUG